rnacentral:rRNA from 1 species
GACGAACGCUGGCGGCGUGCUUAACACAUGCAAGUCGAACGGUAAGGCCCUUCGGGGUACACGAGUGGCGAACGGGUGAGUAACACGUGGGUGAUCUGCCCUGCACUUCGGGAUAAGCCUGGGAAACUGGGUUUAAUACCGGAUAGGACUCUGGACUGCAUGGUCUGGGGUGGAAAGCUUUUGCGGUGUGGGAUGGGCCCGCGGCCUAUCAGCUUGUUGGUGGGGUGAUGGCCUACCAAGGCGACGACGGGUAGCCGGCCUGAGAGGGUGACCGGCCACACUGGGACUGAGAUACGGCCCAGACUCCUACGGGAGGCAGCAGUGGGGAAUAUUGCACAAUGGGCGCAAGCCUGAUGCAGCGACGCCGCGUGAGGGAUGACGGCCUUCGGGUUGUAAACCUCUUUCAGCAUCGACGAAGCGAAAGUGACGGUAGGUGCAGAAGAAGGACCGGCCAACUACGUGCCAGCAGCCGCGGUAA